GGGGGCGCAACGGAUUCGACGGGAUUGCAUCUUUCGUAGGAAGUCGUGCCGGGUUCCGAGCUCCCGUAAAACGAUCGGAAAACAACAACUGCCAAUCAGCAGUUUGCAUACGCUGCUUAAUUAAUUAAGUAGCCGCCCUGGGCUGUUAGGCCUGCAUGGUAGUCUGAGGGCGUCAUCAUGGCAGGAUAGGUCAAAGGCUUCCGCCUGGAGCCCGCAACCGAGACCAAUCAGGCUAAGCCGCCUCGCUCUUGCCGGUUCCGCACGGGGCGGUCUAAAACCACCGAAUCGGAAACGCACGUAGUCUUUCGCGGCAGACUUUCUCGGACGCGGGUUCAACUCCCGCCGCCUCCACCA
rnacentral:tmRNA from 1 species